rnacentral:lncRNA from 1 species
CAGCUGAGCACACCAGAGGGAAAGCACCAUUAAAUUCCCUGUGCACUCUUCAACCAAUUAGCUGCACCAAGGUCACCAGGUGAAGGGCGUGGGGAAGCAGAGAAGAAAAGAUGCUAUGGGCUUGACAAGGUUAAAUUGAUGGGGCCCGUGGGACAUGGCUAUUCAUUCCAUAAAUGUUUAUCGAGCCCCUAGCAUCCACCUGGCAUUGAGCUAGCUAGGCACCCAGAGCAUAAACAAGAUUUAAACCUGUCCCUACACUGAAGGACCUCUCAGACUGGUAGAAAGUUAGCUGACAAAUAUCUAGGUUAUGCUGUGCUGUUGGGAGCACUGCAGAGGGACCCCUUAAUUCUGCCUUGGUCAGGGAUGGUGUUGGGGAACAACAACCCCAGAGCUGAAUGUUGUAGGCCAAUUAAGAGUUUUCCAGGUGAAAGCUGGGGGAGGUGGAAGGCUGGAAAGGUUCUGGAAAUUGGAUGUUGUAGUAGGGCUGUGUGAAAGGAGCAUUAGUUGCAUUUGGGGAAAAGGUAUGAGGCUGGAAUGUAGACAGAGUCCUGCUUCCCAUGGACAAGAGAGGGAGAGGAAAAGACAGAGGCAUGGAGAUGUGGCUCUGCUGUGUCUGCGGGUGGCCUUGACUGUGAAGAGCCCGUGCUUGGAGCACACUCAAAGCCGCUGUCUUCAAUGAGCUGUAUUAGUAAUAAGGCAAAUGUUUUGGACUCCGUCUGUGUCCUAAACUCACAAGGGAGAAAAGAGAGUGUCGUGUAUUGAAUCCCACUGGCAGGCUCCCAACAGUAUUAAUUUGUGUGGGUUGGUUUGUUUUUUGGAACAGAGGCUCAUUCUCUUGCCCAGACUGGAGUGCAGUGGUGUGAUCCCGGCUCACUGCAGUGUUGACCUCCUGGGCUCAAGCGAUCCUUCUGCCUCAGCCUCCCAAGUAGCUGAGACUAUGCCCAGCUUUAAAAAAAAUUUUUUUUGGAGAAUUGUGGUCUCCCUAUGUUGCCCAGGCUGGUCUCAAACUCCUGGCCUCAAGUGAUCCUCCCACCUCAGCCUCCCUAAGUGUUGGGAUCACAGGUGUGAGCCACCGUGCCAGGCUAAUUUGUGUUUUGUUUGCUGUUUUUCCCUUCUCUGCAUUCCAAGCUGGUGGCCAGGCCUAGUUCCUUUCCUGAGAUGUUUUUGCAGGGUAAAGAACAGAUACUGGUUGUCUUUGUUUGGUGUUCGUGGGGUGGGGACUUUGAGAGUUGCAAGAGGAGAGAGAAGAGAGUCACCCUGGGAUUGGGAGAGAGGAAAUAGCAGGUUACAGCAGACUGGGGUCUGGGUGCUGCUCCAUGUCAGGUCACUGGUGGAGGUGACAAGUCCUAAAGGGGGUGGUUUGAUCUGUGUAGUUAGGAAGGCUGGACCCCAGGCCUGGGAGCAUUCACUUUGCCAAAGGUUCCUCUGCUCUAAGCAGCAAGGCUAUUAAACCUCAAGGGACAAUGCAGUCAGACCAGGAAGCACCUCAGCAGUGAUUAGCAUGAGCCGAAGACCAGUGCCUUUGCCUAGCAAGACUUCCCAGGAGGAGCCGACUUUGGCACACCCCUGGGUAGAAUGUGGGACAUUCAGCAAUUACUGAGAUUAAUUUCCUGUCAGCUCAGUAGAAGGCGGCUCAAUAUCAGAUUGAAGUUGAUUUAAACAAAGUCAGGAAGUGUGUCAUGGCCAGGUGCAGUGGCUCACGCCUGUAAUCGCAGCACUUUGGGGACCGAGGUGAGUGGAUCACCUGAGGUCAGGAGUUCGAGACCAGCCUGGCCAACAUGGUGAAACCCCGUCUCUACUAAAAAUACAAAAAUUAGCCAAGCGUGGUGGUGGGCGCCUAUAAUCCCAGCUACUCGGGAGCCUGAGACAGGAGAAUCACUUGAACCUGGGAGGCAGAGGUUGCAGUGAACCGAGAUGGUGCCACUGCACUCCAGCCUAGGUAGACUGAGCAAGACUCUGUCUAAAAAAACAAAAACAAAACAAACAAAAAAACCCCAAAAAAACCUGUGUUACUUCUUUCACAUGUGAGUUGGAAGACUAAAAUUCACAGCAGCAAUAGUAAUCAGAACAUAGAGGUGCUGGAAGUACGGGAGGUGGGGAGUCAGAGGGAGUGAAUCCAAGGAGUGUGGGCAAAGCCUGGACAAUCUCAGAUUUAGGGGUAAGUGAAGAUAGAGGAGGCCAAAAAGGUGAAGUCAGCAAGACAGGAGAAGCUGAAGAGGAGGGUUAAUGGCAUUCAGUGCUGCGGAGGACAACUAAGACUUGGAUUAAAAGGCACUCUGUCUUGUUCUCUCUUGGAUUGCUCGCCCUGGGGGAAGUCAGCUGUCAUAUUGUUUUAAGUCAACCCUAUGUAAAGCUGCAUGAACGACCUUAGGAGCCUUCAGCCCGUCAAGCCUGGAGGUGACUGCAGCUCCAGCCAAUAGCUUGAUUGCAAUCUUAUGAGAGACUCCGAAGGAGAGAUACUCAACUAAACCAAAACCAGAGUCUAUAGACUAUAAGAUAAUAAAUGUUUAUUGUUCUAAGACAUUCAGUUUUGGAGUAAUUUAUUACACAGCAAUAGACAGCUAAUAAGUAGACAAGUGGCCAGGCACAGUGGCUCACGCCUGGCAGGUGGAUUACUUGGGCACCAGAG